CGAUGAUCUCCAGCUUGCUGGGGGGAUUAGUGGCGAACGGGUGAGUAACACGUGAGUAACCUGCCCUUGACUCUGGGAUAAGCCUGGGAAACUGGGUCUAAUACCGGAUAUGACCAUCUGGCGCAUGUCAUGGUGGUGGAAAGCUUUUGUGGUUUUGGAUGGACUCGCGGCCUAUCAGCUUGUUGGUGGGGUAAUGGCCUACCAAGGCGACGACGGGUAGCCGGCCUGAGAGGGUGACCGGCCACACUGGGACUGAGACACGGCCCAGACUCCUACGGGAGGCAGCAGUGGGGAAUAUUGCACAAUGGGCGCAAGCCUGAUGCAGCGACGCCGCGUGAGGGAUGACGGCCUUCGGGUUGUAAACCUCUUUCAGUAGGGAAGAAGCCUUUCGGGGUGACGGUACUUGCAGAAGAAGCGCCGGCUAACUACGUGCCAGCAGCCGCGGUAAUACGUAGGGCGCAAGCGUUAUCCGGAAUUAUUGGGCGUAAAGAGCUCGUAGGCGGUUUGUCGCGUCUGCUGUGAAAGACCGGGGCUCAACUCCGGUUCUGCAGUGGGUACGGGCAGACUAGAGUGCAGUAGGGGAGACUGGAAUUCCUGGUGUAGCGGUGAAAUGCGCAGAUAUCAGGAGGAACACCGAUGGCGAAGGCAGGUCUCUGGGCUGUAACUGACGCUGAGGAGCGAAAGCAUGGGGAGCGAACAGGAUUAGAUACCCUGGUAGUCCAUGCCGUAAACGUUGGGCACUAGUGUGGGGGGACAUUCCACGUUUUCCGCGCCGUAGCUACGCAUUAAGUGCCCCGCCUGGGGAGUACGGCCGCA
rnacentral:rRNA from 1 species